GGAGCCACACCUACCUGGUCACAAAGCCUGCAGCCUGGGGCCUAGGGCACUGCUUUGGAGCACUGGGUCCCUCUUAGAUGCCUGUCCCACCACCCCACCUCCAGUAGAGAGGUUGCCCAGGUCCCCGCUCUCUGCUCAGCCCCUGGCGGGCCUGGAUCAGCUUCCCUUGGAGUUAGGAAUGGCCAUAUGGUCAAGUUCUUGCCAAUGGAAUUGAGCAGAAAUGAUGUGAACCCCUCAGGAGCCUGGACGGAGAUCAUGAGGCUCCUUGUUCGUCUCUUCCCUUCUCACAAGCCAGUCAUAGGCAGACCAUUGUCUCUGGUGAGAGGACGCUGUCCUAAGGGAUGGAAAGAGAAGAAGGAAAGGAAGCGGGACCCUGGAUGUCUACAUGGAACAAUGCAGCUUUACCGUCCCUGAACACCUCCACUUCAUGGCUGAGUAAACCUGAGCUUAGAGAAGCCCACCCCACAGACCCCAGCCGCAGGCCUCAGAUCCAGCCCCCACAACUGACACCUCCCUUAGGUCUUGCCCUGUCCAGGGUGCUGCCCGGCUCCCUGACAGCAUCAGGCUUCCUGGCCAUGCAGCUCUGCCUCCCACCCGAAGGCCUCACCUGCCGCUUGCUCUCAUCCUAAAGGCCUGUGCUCCAAUGGUCUCCCCCUGACCACGGCCAGGAGCAAACACUUCUUAGCACUUGUUAUCACAACUCAAGUCUUUGCUUAUAUGUUUCCUAGUUUAUUUUCUGUGUCUCCCUGGUUGAGUUCCAUGAAGACAGAGACCUUGUCUAUCUCUCUGCCACUCUCAGAUUCUGGAAGAGCAAGUGAUAGAAUUCUAAUAUGUGUGGGAUGUGUGAGUUCAUGACCUUGUUUUCCACUAGAAGGGACUGAGGCAUUGGGCAGUGAAGAGACUUUUCCAAGGUGACACGUGAGUGGUAGAGACAAGAUUAAAACCCAGCAUGCUGGGUGGAGGAGCUUCUGGCUAACCCUGCUGUGCUCUGCACAGUGUACUCAGGGAACUGUGGCUGGCCCACUUGUCUCAGAGGAUGGGGAUUGGCCAGCAGAUGUGUGUGUUGAAAAAAAAAAUCGGUUGAAGAGGGGACCCAUUAAAAAGUCAUCUCCACACUUUACAUUUAGUAUUUGGAGGUGAGACCUUUGGGAGGUAAGAGUGUCAUCAGAGUGGAGCCCUCAGGAAUGGGCUUGUUUCCUCAUAAGAGACACAGGAGAGAGGAUCUCACUCUCUGCUUUUUGAGGAUUCAGUCUGAUGGCGGCUGUCUGCAAACCAGGAAGAGAGCUCUCCCGAGGAACGCUCUUAGCCAGCCCCUUGAUCUCACACUUCCCAACCUCUUGGAACUGUGCAAAAUUGUUCAUGUUGUUUACGCCCCUAGCCUAUUUGUUAUAUGGCCUGAGCUGACUGAGACAAAGUCCAGGAUCAAGGUGUUGGCAGGGCCAUGCUCCGUUGGAGACUCUGGGUAGGACCCUUCCUCAUACCCUUCCCCAGCCCUUCUUCAUCUGGAUGGUGGCUGGCAAUCUUUGGUUUUCUUUUCCUCGCCUACAGCCAUACCACUCCCAUCUCUGCCUCUGCUGUCACCGGACGUUCUCUCUCAGACUGCAUUGAGGGCCCAUCCAGUGACCUUAUCUUAACACGCUUAUAUCUGCAAAGACCCCAUUUCCAAAUAAGGUCACAUUUACAGGUCCUGGAGUUUAGAAUUCCAACAUAUCAUUUUGGGAACACAAUUCAACCUAUAAAACACAUUUUAUUUUCACUUUGAUGGAGCGCACAGUCACUGAUCUCCUUAACACGUCUGCAUCGAUUAUGGGCCCAUCCCCCAGCAUUCCAAGUCGCCUUCCUUACAAAAUCUGCGCUGAUGCGACACCAUUCCCAACAUCCAGCUUUGGGUUCAUUGGGAUGGAAGGCAGGCUGAAAGGACCUUGCGAAGUGGUUGGCAACUAGAACCACAUAGACUGCCAAUCUCUUCCCACCCAGGUAUUUACAUUCGUCUCACCCCCACCUGGGUUGACAGCUAGUUGUUUGUGUGACUCAGAUUGUGUCUUUCAAUAGAGUUUUCAGAAGAGACAACAUUUCUCCUUGUUUGUACAAUUCUGUUUCAUCCAUGGCUCUAACGUUUAAUUCGAUUACAAACAGUAAUUAUAAUGACAAGGUAACUGUCAGAAAUAUGUUAGGGAGCAAAGCCAGCAGACUAGUGAGCAUACUCCCAGCUGGGGACAGGGACACGUGGCAGGGCCUGGGGCCUGGGGAAGGCUGCCAGCCACUCCUGCCAUGGGAUCCCAUUGCAGGGAAGCACUGGCACGUUGGUCAGGGGCGGUCAGGAAAGUAAGACCUCUCUGCAUUCCAGCCAGCCCCUUCCUGAGUGCUGUGAUAAUAAAACUGUCUCGGCCUCA